CAGGAGAGGCCACGCUUGGAAACCUACCCGCGGGGACAGCGGCACGCUCGAGCUUACUGAAUUCGGGGGUGGCGAAGGAAAGAGUCGAGCACGGGCGCACGCAAGGACGCGUGAGAGGAUCACAAGCCCUCGCUACCUACCAGGGCCGAGUGGGAACGCCUGUGACACAUGAGCUCAUUGACCUUCACCAUUUGGGGGAAGCAGAGCCCAUUCUUAGACUCAUUCUUCAGAUGACGUAACUGAAGCCCAGAGAGGUCGUUUAACUUGCUGGGUUGCACAGCUCAAAAUGCAGAAGGCAGCCUGUGAACUCAUGACUUGGGCUCAGCAUCCGGAGAUGAAUCCUGACCGGCCUCACGGCUACGUCCCAAGAGGAGCUCAUCACACAGCAAUCGGCGUGACCAUGCCUCCCCCCUGCUACUGCAAAGCGUUGCAUCUCGCCAUGGAUACUGGGUUGGAGAAGGGAGCAGGAGUUCUUCCCAAGCGCGUGCAGGAAAAUGGAAAUAAAUCUAUAGCUCCCGUGGGGGUCACCAUCCC